GUGCUGACCUGAAAUUUUUCCUGGGUGUAGAAUGCAGACAGAAGAGAAGAUAGGGGCGAGUUAUGGGUGAGAAGACAUUAAAUUGUGAGAGAGGAAAGACAGCCCUUUGUAGGGAGGCAAUUUCAGGGGCCAUCAAACAUAAACUUCACCUUCCUCUCAGCCUCGUCCAUUCUGGCCUCCGCUGUGGUCCUGCUGAAGGCUUUCUUACAGGAAGGCUGGGUGGAAACUCUUUGCGGCCUGGACUCUUCAGUGUACACAUAGAAGUCAAAAACCCUCAGAUUAAGUAUUUUAGAGAGAUCUGGGAUCAAGAGAUUAAUACUCUCUUACAUGUGUGUAUGCCUUUAUAGUUUCCAAAAGAGUUUAUCUUUUUGACCGUUGCAAUUCCGUGACAUUAUUAUCUCAUUUUAUGGAUGAAAAAGCAGGGGACCAGACCAUCAAAAUUACUUGCUCAAGGACCCACGGCAGGUGAAAUACGGAGUUGGAAAAUAAAUCCAGGUCUUCUGACUCCCACUGUGAAGUUCUUUCCUCCACACUAGACACAAUUUUGAGAAUAAAGGAAACACCAGUGUAAAUAUUCCUUCAUAGUAGGUGAUUUCCAGGAUCACCUUUCUAGCAGUAUUUUUGAGAUGUCAAGGAAGUUCUGGGAUUAUACUCACUUUAAGAAAUAUCUAGGUAUAUAUUCAGUUGAAUAAGAACAUAUUAUUAUUACUUAGAUAACAUAGGACACUAUUAUUUUAGCUACCGUUUAUAGAGCAGUAGCUAAGAGCAUAGACUCUGGAGACAGAUUCCAUAAAUCCUGAGCCCAGCUCUGCCACCUCUUAGUUGGGUGACCUUGGACAAGUUACUUAAUCUUUCUGGCCUCAGUUUCCUUACCAAUGAAAGGAUACAUAACAAGAACAAUACUACUAAAUUACAGACCUUUUAAUGAGAACUAAAUGAGUCAGUAUAUGUAAAGUGCUUGCAAGAGUGACUGGCACACAUGGUACAUACUGUAUGCAUUGCGUGUGCAUGGAUGUGUAAUAUUUAUUUAUUUAUUUAUUUACUUUUUUGAGACAGAGUCUCGCUCUGUCGCCCAGGCUGGAGUGCGGUGGUGCAAUCUCGGCUCACUGCAAGCUCCGCCUCCCGGGUUCACGCCAUUCUCCUGCCCCACAUUCCCAGGUAGCUGGGACUACAGGCGCCGGCCACCUUGCCCGGCUGAUUUUUUGUAUUUUGUUUAGUAGAGACGGGGUUUCACCGUGUCAGCCAGGAUGGUCUUGAUCCUGACGUCGUGAUCCGCCCGCCUCGGCGUCCCAAAGUGCUGGGAUUACAGGCGUGAGCCACCGCGCCCGGCCCCUGCUAUUUAUUAAUAUACGCCCUGAAGCCGUUUUGCUUUUAGGCUGAGGCCAAGUGGGAUCCGGAGGAGGCCUUAAUUUAGAGCGGGACCCCUGGGUGUUGAAGCCCAGUUUUCUGAUCCAGAAUUCUCUUCCCACAAACAAGGCAGAAUUCCUCCAUCAGAAAGACCAGAGAGCUAGUGCCCCUGACAAGGAGUGGGCUGACCUAGCCCUUGUCUUAGAGGCAGGACAAGGCCAAAGGCCCCCGGGGGAGCGGACAUGGGGGAGCUAUGCAGGUGGGGCAAGGCCAGGCAGUUCCCGCUAGCUGAGCACCGUUAUCUG
ensembl:lncRNA